rnacentral:rRNA from 1 species
UACGUAGGGUGCAAGCGUUGUCCGGAAUUACUGGGCGUAAAGGGCGCGUAGGCGGCUUUCCAAGUCAGGGGUGAAAUCCCGGGGCUCAACCCCGGAAUUGCCUUUGAAACUGGAAAGCUAGAGUGUCGGAGGGGAUAGCGGAAUUGCUAAUGUAGAGGUGAAAUUCGUAGAUAUUAGCAGGAACACCGGUGGCGAAGGCGGCUAUCUGGACGACAACUGACGCUGAGGCGCGAAAGCAUGGGGAUCAAACAGG